CUGUUUCGGAGCAAGAAAAAUGGGGUUUUUUUGCUGCUCGUAAAGGAAUUUUCCUUGAUGGAGAGUUUGGGAGGUAGCAUAGGAGGUAGUGUGUGUCCGUAUUCAGUGUGUGGGGAGCUUUCAGGAGGAGCACAUGCCACUGGGGAUCACCCCAUGGUCUUCCCAGUGCACCGGGGCAGGGACCAGGGCAGGCAUGAGGCCGUUGGUCUUCCAGAAGGAUUGGCAGAAGUGGGGGGAGCAGGAGAGCCGUCGGUCCAGGAUAAAGUCCUACAGACACGUGCUGAAGAGGCAGGCGUGCGUCCUUGACGGCGUGAUGCUUUGAGUAGACCGCAGAAGACAAUUUUUUUUCCCCUUAUGGGAAAAUUUCCCAAUGAGGAGGCUAGAUGAAAGCGGACACUUCGUGAUGCGGUUUGAAAGCGAAGAGACAUCUGCCACAGAUCAGAAAAGCCUGGCAGGUGGAAAACACACCAGCCCUCCCUUCUCCCUGCCUUUAUCCUGUAUGUGGCACAUCUCUGUUCCCUGCGUGUCGCAGCCACCAUGCUGACACGGGCUCUGCACCGCUCGACGAAGAUCAGCAGCACCAGAAACCAGAGGUCUGCUGUCCCAGGGCACGGUGGUGGGGCAACACACCGACCUCCCCUCCCUCAAUCCCAGCCAGUUUGUACCUUCUCCCUAAAAUACCACGCAAAGCUACAGGAGCUGGGAAGAUUCUGCAGCUCGAGAGCACAUGAGUAAAAACUGAAUUAUUUAGCAUAUUUUUUAGUGCAAGCAGGUGUGGGGUUUGAAGCGGUUUGAGUUGGGAAUUCUCUGCAGAGGAGUUAGGGUCUGGUGGGAUUUGAAAGAGCUGGACAAGUUUUCCAUUCCUGUCCUCCUCUUGCUGCCUCUUGACAGCCUUUCCUUUUUUUUAGGUCUGAAUUCUUGUUCUCUUUCUUGUGUUUUCCAUUGCCUGUAACUUCCCCCUCUCCCUUUAUUUCGCUGCUUCACCUGCUGAAGCGCCUGUGGAUGCGGCUGUAACGAUCUAUUGAGCGCUGACAGCGUGCUCGACGCCACGUACCAGCGUGCGAGGCGAUGCGGUCCCUCAUCCCAGGGGAUUUGGCAAUCUCCUGCAGACACUGACAGUGCGGUUCAGACCAUCGCGAGCAACCAGAUGCUAGUUCAGCUGGAAACAGAGCCGCCGAGGCUUGCCGAAAUCCUUGGCAGGAGGCAAGGACUGGCUUUGGAGGUGGUUUCGUUAGGGGCUGGGGGGGGGGGGGGCUUGCUCUGUGCGUGUGUAGGUUUUGGUGCGCUUAUUCAGGUUUUUUUUAUUUUAUUUUAUUGUUUUUAGAAGGCAGGGGGUGGUUUGCAAAGCUGUGUGAGCACUGAAGCAGCGUGCCCUUCAUCCUGAAGGGAGAGCACAGGGACGGACACACAGAGGUGGCUCGGGCAGCUCCACUGUGAACCACAUCAGAGUGGUUUUGGACCAGUGUUCCCCUAAAAUCUCUUCCUCCCCCCAACCACUUUGUUCAGGCAUUUGGGACCAUGUGUGUGCGUGAGCAUCAGACAGACGCUGUUCUCUUCCACGAUCUGCUCAACUCCAUCUUGCCCAGAUUUUUCCUGCAGCCUUUGGUGCUGGUUAAUCCCCGACUCUGCUCAUAGGGAGGGCUCCCGUGUGCACAGGCUCAGGGCUGUGACACCAGCUGGCCCAGCUCUGCCUGUCCCCAGGGGCACAGGGAAGGACAAUUUGGGCAACAAACGCUAAUCCAGCGCUGCUCCUGUGCACGCACAGAGCCAAGAGCUGUGACUGCAGCCACCCUCGCACCCCAACGCUUUUGGAUAAUUUUGUGCAACCCGAACACGAGAGGAAACCCUCACCACGAUCUGGAUGGUAACAGAUACGCUCCAGCAUGGCAAAUGGCAAACUGCACCGUGAGCGGUGACCUUAGGGGCCUGGAGGAGAAGGGGUUACUGCAUCACAUCUCCCUCCUACUUUUUGGACACAAGCCUUUAGGAAACAAGACAUUUGGGUAGCAGAUGGGUGCUCUGGUAGGUCUGGAAACCUCUCAGGCAAAAGUAAAUCCUUCCUUCCCAGCAGGAGGUUCAGGCCUUAUUCUGCAGAACAGCGUGUACGAGCUGAGCUCCCCUAAGGGAGCAGAUUGCCCUAUUCCUCCGGCGCUUGGCUGGAUGCCGUCCUGCCACCAGUGCACUGAACAGCAAAGCAAUCCUGUUGCUUAACCCUCAAGCCCUGUCCCUCAAACUGAAGCAGUGUUUGAUGCUCUCAGCUUGUGUUGGCACCGCGAAACAUGGUCUGUGAAGAGGAGAAACCCUUCCCUUAGCAAAGGAAAGAUGACACACAGCAGCGGUGAAGAGACUUCAAGAGGACUUGAAAGGCGCAUCGGCUCCCCGGGGAAGGCGGGGGGUCGUGGGCUGGAGCGGGACCCCUGGCACCCACGCUGCCCCGGCUCCGCUGCUUGACCCGUCCUGAGAUCUUGGGCAAGCGCCAUCGCUCUGUGUUCAGCGUGAUGCUGGCCUGGCACUAGCCAUAACAAAAAUCAGAUCCAAAGUUGCUUUUAUGCACACAGAAGAGCAGGAGAACCAGCGACAUUAAUGCAUCCAGGAGCUACCUAUGGCUAUUGAAGUGGGGGAUUACAAGCAUAAAGGCUUGGCUGACUCACUAGACCUCAUUAAAGUCUAAUAAUCUCUAUAAAGAUGCAGCAUUGCACAUACGCAGCAGCCCCAGCCCGUCUGAGCUAAAGCUCAGCAAAGGCUCUAUUAGCCAUUUGAUAGUUUGGGCAUGAAACCAUAAAAUGUGUUUGUGUUGUGAAAGCACUUAGGUCAGGAUUCCCUCCGUGAGGCUCAACCUCGACAGUUUGGUUUAGGAACAAAAGGGCCAGGCUUGUCCCGGUGAGGGAUGUUACGGCAUCUGCGACGUCGCUGGUGACCCGGGGAGCUGUGCUGGAGACUUCGGGGGAUGCAAAAAACCAGAAGCAGCAAAAACGUUAAAAGCUUUGAGCUUCCACUGCCCUCCAAGCAACAUGUUAUACACUCACCCAGCUGCAGGAACUUCAGUAUCGCCAGCCUGAAAACUUCAUAAAAGAAAACCUGAGAUGGACCGUAAAGCAAGCUGGAUGUAGAAAUGUGAAAUGCAACACAAAUCGAGGCUUGUGUUUGUGUUUUGACAUCUAAGCCUCUAGAAAUCCCAUUUUCUUGGGUUUUUCUAUAAUUAAGCUGAUUGUUUGUUUUUCUGGAAGCUGAAGUUCUUAAGUAACCAAGUGACUGUGAUAGCCACUGCUCUGAGAACUCCAAAUAUGCCAAAUUCUGGUGAAAACCUCAAGGUUGGCACCUCUGCAACGUUGAUGCCUUCAAAGAAGUUCUCGCAUCAAGUAGGGCUCUUGUGACAAUAACCUUUUGUUGCUCAUUAGUUUGCCUGGAGGCUUUUAACGAACAAAAUUCCUUCUUGUUUGAGAUCUUAGCGUCUGGCUGGAACCUGCAAAAAAUGUUUGUGUUUGGAAAAAACCUGACUGACCCCGAGUUGAGGAAAAUUGAUGCCUUGAAGCUGUCAUAGCGGUGAGAAGGAUCUGGUUGUGCCAUCCUUGCAUUAAAUUGUACCUUCCUGUGAGAUUUGUCCUUUCCGAAAUCCUGGAGUAAUGCAUUAGCACAUUUUGGAGGUGAGAGCUGGCCGUGAGAGUCUCAUUUGAAUUUGACGCCACUGCUGGGUUUUUUUGGAUAUCGUAAAUAGGAAACGGUAGAAAGACAAAGUCUGAUUGACUGGAAGAUUACAAAGGGAGAAGAGGUCCCAGUAACAUACAGAGAGAUGGAUUUAGGUUUAUUUGAGGUUGAUUAGUCCUAAUUAUUUUUUACGAUACAGGGCAAAAUUAAUAAAGGAGCACUUGGACUGCGCAGAGUUGAGAAAAAUUAUCUUAAUGGGAGAAUUACUCAAAUAUUAAACAGCAUUUUAAGGAAUCAUAGAAUCGUUUAGGCUGGAAAAAACCUUUAAGAUCAAGUCCAACCAUAAACCUAGCACUGCCAAGUCCACCACUAAACCAGACGUCUCAUCACUUUGGUCCUUAAAAGCGGAGGAAGCCGAAGUGGUGGGAGCCACCACCCUGGGAUGGAGACUGAUGUUGGGACGGGGGAGAUUUUGGGGGGGUUGUAUCCCUGUAGCAAGUCCAUCGGCUCCUGAUUUUUUUCUGACUCGUCUAAUCCCAGUGCUGGGGAGCCUGGAUGGACUCGUCCCCACCAGCUCUAAUGAAUGCAAUUAAUGGUCGGGGGCUGCUGGUUGAUUUUGGUGGGAGGGUGGAGCAGGCUGUUCUGGGAAGCCAGUUUCUAAAUGUGCAGAAGUACAGGUUAGCUCGGCUGGGAGGCUCAUGAAAUUUAAAUUAGGAGGAUUUUGUGGGGAAGAGGAAAAAGUAUUAACAAACUAAGGAGAGCUAAUUACUGGAGAUGGAGAACAUUCGCUGUGUAGUUGUAGAUGACAGCAGUAAGUAGUUCCCAUCAGGGCUUUUCUUGCUUUGGAGACAAAGAGGUUGGCCAUCCACUGAGUUAUCAAAGAUGAUAAGGGGCUGCAUUUUAUAAAUGGAGAUAGGCUCUAAUUGCAAAAAUGCCUGUGAAUACUUCCAUAGCACUUUGCUGAACCCUGGUGUCACGGAGGAUUUUUGAAGCCUGCUUUCCACAGUCAUUACAUACUGCUUCAUUUGUAAUGAAGUUUGCAACUCAUGGAACUUCAUUUGGAUAAAUUUUAGCUCCUCUCACCCCCAAAUCUAUUUUAUGCCCAUCUGCUAAUGGGGAAAGAAAUUAAACCUUGGUUCCUUGCAUAAUAUUGCAGCAGAGGCAGUCACGGGGAUUUAACUCCUCUGCUCGAGAAGCAGAAACUACUCCGCGGCCAACCUCCACCGUGCAGCACAGCUUGAGCAACACCCCACAAAGCAAAUAAUCAUAACCUAUAAGCAAAUGCAUUCAAGUACACCUUAACUUAGUCCCUAAUGAGGGAAAUUUUACCAAAUGAGUCGGUGCAAAGACUUUCCCUUGCAUCUCAUUGUAGCAGAGGCU